GACGAACGCUGGCGGCGUGCUUAACACAUGCAAGUCAGGGGGCGCAGCAAUGCGUCACCGGCGAACGGGUGCGUAACACGUGAGCGACCUGCCCUGGUGUGGGGGAUAGCCGGCCCAACGGCCGGGUAAUACCGCAUACGGCUCCUGCUUAGAAGUGGGAAGCGGAACCCGCAAGGGGCGCUAGGAGGGGCUCGCGGCCUAUCAGCUAGUUGGUGCGGUCACGGCGCACCAAGGCGAUGACGGGUAGCUGGUCUGAGAGGAUGGCCAGCCACAUUGGGACUGAGAAACGGCCCAGACUCCUACGGGAGGCAGCAGUGGGGAACCUUGCGCAAUGGCCGAAAGGCUGACGCAGCGACGCCGCGUGGGGGAUGAAGGCCUUCGGGUUGUAAACCCCUGUUGCUCAGGACGAACAACACCAUUCGUGGUGUCUGACGGUACCGGGUGAGGAAGCACCGGCUAACUCUGUGCCAGCAGCCGCCGUAACAC
rnacentral:rRNA from 1 species